AUAGUUUCAGAGUUUAUUGGCAAAUCACACUACACUAUUAGGAAUAAAGAAGGAAUACAACUACUAGAUUUAACUUUGUUUAUGUUGUUAUUUUUAUGUUUUAUACUUACAGUAAACUUAUUUUGUAAAUUCAAAUGGUAUUAAAUUAAUUCCUCAUAAUUAUAGGAGUCAACGGUUAAGAUAUGACCAUUCGAUUUCUUAACGGUUACGAAUUGACUAACACAAUGGUUACGAAAUGACCAACAAUGAGCGGUUACGAAAUGAUCAUAAUUCAUUUGACAGGGCUUUUACCAGCUGUUUGUCUGUGCAGAGCGGGAAUUUUACCUGGGAUUGGCUGGACCGAAAGUCAAAGUCCCCGCUAUUAGCAGGACCUUGGGGGCCCAUGCUGCAAUUGACUGUUGCAUUAUUUGGAUUUUUUCUUAACUUUACGACAUGCCCCCCUACAGUAUUUUAUAGUUAAGUUUAGUAAUAUUUUUUUUACAGAAAUUGGAUAACUUAACAAGUAAAGUAAACUGUACUGAGCUUUUAAACAAACCUACAUACUUAUAGAUAAAAAUUGAUAUUUUAGGGUCUACACUGAAUAAACCCAAAAUGUUAGUUUUGAUUUGCUAAAUUCGAACAGUAUUUAGUCAAUCCACACAAAAUUUACAGGAUCAUCAGAUAACAAAUUUUCUAAAAAUUCUCCGUUUGCCAAAUAGGGAAGACAGGAUUAAGUGGGAUUAAAAGGUUGCUAUCUGUGACCAAAAAAAUACUGUUCAAAAUUGUGAGUAUUCAUUUAUCUUUCGUUCAGUAAAGAGCAUGCAAUGGCAUAGUGGUUGGAUUAGAUAAUCUGACAGCGGUGCUGGACGUCAGGAGUUCAAAUAUUGUUGUGAGUUCAAUGUACCAAAAGAAUACCUUUGGAAUACACUACCGGGUAUUAUCUAUAAAAAUGGCAGAGCAAAUUGCCCAUAUUGUAGUAAUGUCUUAGAUCCAGCUUGGAUAACUUGGACACAGUAAGCGGUUCACACCCAGGGAAAUUCUCAGAUAAAACAGCGCCUAUAAACUUGAACAUUACAUUUGUCAUUGAGACAAUUAAAGAAAAAACAUUAUUGCUGAUCUUCUGAAAACAAAUCCUCUAACAUUCAAAUAUUUAAUUUGUUGGAUGAACUAAGGUUUAUAUUGAUAAGAGAUUGCUUCAGUUGGAUUUAAACUAAUCACCAACAAAAAUAUAUGCAUUUAAAUCACACAAUGUAAACAACUGCGCCACAGAUCUUAUCUGUAUGUUUUGGGUUUUUAAAAUUUAGCAGUUAAAUAUAGAUUAGCAUACUGGUAGGUCUGGUUGGUCUGUUGCUUUAGUUGCUAAGUAAACAUAAUGUCAGUGAUUUCAUCACUAUUUCUAUUAAAAUAUCAGUUUUCCUCUUCAGGGCUUCUCACAUUUGCACCAUUUUUUUACCAUUUGAAUCAUAAAAAGAUAACAAACACAUGAACUUAACACUUUGUGAAUAUUUAAGGAUUGUAAGGGGUCAGAUUUCAGAUUGCUCAUUAUUGCUGGAACACUAAAUACUUUAUUUGAUUGUGUACACUGCACUUUCUUGUUAAGCAUUCAUCCAAAUCAUUUGGGUAAAUUUUGGCAGAAAAACUGCUUUUGGAUUUUUACUGGUCAUCAAAACCGGCACUGACAAAACAUAAGACGUGUUUAAUUAAUGUGCGGGAAAGAGGUUUAAAGGUGUCGGCCCACAACGAAAGGCUUGCGGGUUGCAGUACCCCUUUAAGUAGUUCUUGAAAAAAAUGAUUCUCUGAGGUAGCAUUUGAUUAUGUGUACAUUGUAUUCUUGUAUGUAUUUUCAAGUUAACACAUGAUUUAUAUAAGGUUUGUAUAAUUUUAGUUUUAUUUAAGUUUUAAAAUUUUGAUAUUUUUUUUAAGAUUUGCCUGCCCCUGUCUGAACACUUAAAUUCUUGGUCUUUGGUCUAUUGUCUGCAACUUCAAAACACACUUUUUGGAACAGGACACAUUUUCCUGAUAUUUUAUCCAGUUUGACUGCAAUAUAAGUUGUAUUUAUCAAUAAUUUAAGUAAAAAAUGACAUUUAUAUUUCCAUAAUUACCUGGUAGUUAUUUGUUAAUUUGUUUUAAUUCAUGGAUAGGUUUAUUGCGAGUGUCAUGGAAAGCUGGAACUUUUCAGUACACAACAUGCAAACUGAGAAUGAACUGUGUGUGCCGGCUUUGUGAACAAAAACGCAAGGCGGCUAUGAUACACUGUGUUGUGUGUGGAUAAGAAAUGCAGAGUGGUACCACCAAUUACCUAAGCCACCAUUCCCCUAACAGACAAAAGGCUCAUGGGGACAGUUCCUGCAGUUUACAGCAAAUUGUAGCCCUACAAACUUCAGAUACUGCCAAGCUUGGGUGCACUGGGCCGGUUAUCCAGCCGUGUGGAAUCAACAUCUCCAGCUGAACUUGGGCCGGGAAUUAUAUAAGAAUCCUUAGCAGCAUGAGUGCCAGCCAGUCAUUGCUGUUCUUUGCAUUGCUGAGGAGGACAGUCCUGCCAACAUAACAGUUUGUUCAAUAACAGGAGACAAACAGAAACACAGAGGUGCUAUACAUUCCGAUGGAAAAUACAACAAAAGCAUCUCCCAUCAUUUUGGCGUGGCUCAGAUCAAGAGGAGAAUUUUAAGAAAGGUGAUGGUUGGGCACACACAAGAAGACAUAGAUCACAUGUGUCCAGGCAUAUGAGUAGACAGGAGUUUCACACUCUGCCAAACUUACUUCAUCAGAGGAGCAGAAAGCUUCUCAAGAUCCCGCACUGCACACUUAGAUAUAGUCUUUGACUACAACAAGGGGAUGAAAGUACAGAGAGGUCCAAUUGAAAUCAAUUCUGUGCUGCGUCAUUUCUUCAUUCUGGAAGUCGAUGGACAUGAUUUAUCAUGGCAUCAGGUGUGCAGUUUGUCGACUAUCAGCAGUCUUGUUCACCAGUUGUGCAACUUGAGCUGGUAGCUUUAUUGCUUGAAGCCACAGCAUAAGAGGGGGAAGGUGCAGGCUCAUCAAAAAGUCUCAAAAGUUGAAACUAGGAAAAGAAGUUUGUCAAGAGUGUGAAUAUUUGCUUUGAAAACCAUCGUUACGAUGAUUUGGUUUCCUUUGAAACUUGAUACAUACUAUGUGUAUGUUGAAUGAAUUGAGAUGCUUAAAUAAAGAACCGCUAUUCAAAUAUCAGGAAACUGCAUUUUUCAUACUAAUGUGUAAAUGAUGUCGCCAUUUCCUGUAUGUAUUUAAAUGAGAUAUGUUUCCACAAUUAAUAUUUUUAGGGAAUUUUUCUCAUCCUAAUGAAUGAGAUUAAAUUGUACAGCGUUAUAUGAGCUUAAUAUGUGUUUUCUGUUUCUUUAAAAUUGGUGAAAAAUUGUCAGAAGAUAAUUAGACCAUUAUCCAUUACUGCAAUCAUACAAUCAAAUAUACAGGGACAAACCCACUGGGCAUAUAAUAUAAUUAAACCCUGUUCAGGGGCACGAGGCAAACAGAGUUACUUUCAAACGUUAAAGCUGCACUCUCACAUUUUGGACGUUUUGACAACUUUUCUCAUUUUAGGUCUUGGAUUGGAACCAUCCAAUUUUUGCGAAAAAUUAAAUGGCAGAUUUUUCUUUUUAAGUUAAAACAUUGAUGUUUUAUGCACUUUUCUUAAACCGUUAGUAACAUUAAUUUUUGAACGGAAAUAUGAAAUCUGUGAUCUGAUCUUUUGUCAGCAAUCUUUUAUCAUUGGUUUGCAGAUAAUUACGCAAAAAAUUGCUCAUUCAAAAACAAAAAAAGUUGUGAAAACGGUAUAUCUGUGGGAGUGCAGCUCUAAAUGUUUAAUUUCUUGAUUUUACUACUGUAUUAGAAAUUACAGGGGUUGGGGCAUAUUUUUAGUGUUUUUUAUUGCUUUUUAUGAUUCAUACAGUCAUACUUUAUUCCUCAGGGCAUAACUUACAAAUAGACAAAACUGGAAAAUGGUCGUUUCAAAAGGCCAAAGAUAAUGCAAGUUGAACAAUCAUAUUGUUCAUGGCUUGUAUUUUUGGUAUAUUUUGUUGCAUAUGCUAUAGAAAAGUUGAAAGUUAAAAAUAAAUUCAUAGUUGAAAUGAUGGCUUUGAAUGGUAUUGUCAGAUGAGAAAAGGCACUUUUAAGAAAUAGGUAUAAUGGUACUUUAUUUAUUUUGAUCAAUUUUAGAUAUUGUAUGAAAAUUAUUAUCUUAUUUAGUACAUGAGACCUUUUAAACAGUUAUUGACAAUAUAACAAUGUGUAUAUGAAGCUUUAGAUCAACACUUAAAGCUUCACUCUUACAGAUUGUCAGUUAAGACACAAAAUUGUCUCAAAAUCUGCUGAUUUGGUUAUCAUUCCUUUAAUUCAGUCAUAUUAGAUAAUUCACAAUAGAACCCAUCAGAAAUGUAAAAGUGCCGAAAAUUUCAUUUACAUUAAAUUGUUCGUAAUGCUUUUAGCCAUAAAACAUCAUUUUUAGCUCCACUGGCCGAAGGCCAUGGAGCUUAUGUCGUCACAGAUUGUCCGUCGUGAGUUCGUGCUUGCGUGCGUGCGUGCGUGCGUAAACUUUUACUAUAAACGACAUCUCCUCUGAAACUGAUAAGCGGAUUUUGACAAAACUUCACAGGAAUGUUCCUUUGGUGGUCCUUUACCAAAAUUGCUCAAAUGGUUCCGGUCCAUUGCACAAUAUGGCCGCCAGAGCUAAAAAUAGCAAAAUCUUUAAACGACAUCUCCUCUGAAACGGUUCGGCAGAUUUUGAUGAAACUUGACAGUAAUGUUCCUUGGGUGGUCCUUUAUUAAAAUUGCUCAAAUGGUUCUGGUCCAUUGCACAAUAUGGCCGCCACAGCUAAAAAUAGCAAAAUCUUUAAACGACAUCUCCUCUGAAACGGAUAGGCAGAUUUUGAUGAAACUUGACAGAAUUGUUCCUUGGGUGGUCCUUAACCAAAAUUGCUCGAAUGGUUCCGGUCCGCUGCACAACAUGGCUGCCAGGGCAAAAAAAACCUUUAAAGAACAUCUUCUCAGAAACUGAUGAUCAGAUUUUGAUGAAACUUAACAGAAAUGUUCCUUGGAUGGUCCUUUAUCAAAUUUGCUUCAAUGGUUUCGGUCCACUGCACAAGAUGGCCCCCAGAGGUAAAAAUAGAAAAACCUUUAAACGACUUCUCCUCAGAAACCGAUGAUCGUAUUGCAAUGAAACUUGACAGAAAUGUUACUUGGGUAGUCCUUAACCAAAAUAGCCCAAACAGUUCUGGUCUGCUGCACAACAUGGGCACCAGAGCUAAGAAUAGAAAAAAAACGUUAAACUACAUCUUCUCAGAAACCGAUGAUCAGAUUUUGAUGAAACUUGACAGAAAUGUUCCUUGGAUGGUCAUUAACCAAAAUUUGUUAAAUGGUUCCAGUCCACUGCACACCAUGGCUGCCAGAGCUAAAAAAUAAAAAAAACUUUAUACGACUUGUCGUCGAAACCGAUGACCUUUUUUCGAUAAAACUUGACAGAAAUGUUUGUUUGGUGCUCCUUUACUCAAAUUGCCCAAAUCAUUUCGGUCCACUGCACAACAUGGCAGCCAGAGCUAUUAAAGUAAAAAAAUUUUUUAAAUAACUUCUCCUCAAAAAUUGAUGAUUGUAUUUCUAUGAAACUUGACGAAAAUGUUCGUUAGGUGGUCUUUGCUUGAACCUUUUGGCCAGUGGAGCACAGGCACUGAUGUGCCUCUUGUUUUAACAUAAAUAUGAUAAACUGCUAUCUGAUCUUUUUUCAGCAUUCUUAUAUCACUUAAAAUUGGGUCUAGACAUUUAUGCAAAAAAAUUGUCCAUUUAUAGACAAACAAUAAAAGAGUACCGGUAGUCAAAACGAUCAAUCGGUGAGAUUGCAGCUUUAAAUACACCUUUUAAGACCGCUGUAAAAUUCCAAUGGUUUGCCUAAAUCUUUAAAGCUAGCAUACUGUUUAAUUAACAACCAUACUUAUUGUUUAAAAGUGUCAUGAUAUCUUUGUACAAUGUUUUUUAUAUAAUUCAUUAAAGAAGUCAAAACAAAUUUGUUUAUCUUGUAAAUUGUUUUCUAUUAUUUAAAUGACCCAGACAAAAAUGGGAACGUCA